CGGUAUGAUGAAAAUGCUUGAACCUAAGCUCGCUGAUGAGAUCUGGGAGCUGUACGAGGUCAGUACCUUUAUCACUUAUAUUGUA